AGGUACCUGCACAGGUGCUGCAUGGCUGUCGUCAGCUCGUGUCGUGAGAUGUUGGGUUAAGUCCCGCAACGAGCGCAACCCUUAUCCCCAGUUGCCAUCAGGUAAAGCUGGGAACUCUGGGGAGACUGCCGGUGAUAACCGGAGGAAGGUGGGGAUGACGUCAAAUCAUCAUGCCCCUUAUGACCUGGGCUACACACGUGCUACAAUGGUUGGUACAACGAGUUGCGAGUCGGUGACGGCGAGCUAAUCUCUUAAAGCCAAUCUCAGUUCGGAUUGUAGGCUGCAACUCGCCUACAUGAAGUCGGAAUCGCUAGUAAUCGCGGAUCAGCACGCCGCGGUGAAUACCGUUCCCGGGCCUU
rnacentral:rRNA from 1 species